UAGUGUGUGUGAUUGACAGCUGCUGAUUGACAGCAGUGGGCGGGCAUAAUCUAUUUAUAUGAAUGGACCCUUGCUUCCUGUCUCGUUUCCGCCACACAUUGUUUUGGCGUGAGCCUGGGCUGCGUUUGUUGCCGAGGGGCCGCAGAUGAACCGUGAGGUGCGGCGUUCACUCAGCACUUGUGAUCGCUUGGGAGCGCACUGAUAAACUCCAAGGAGCUAGGAGCUGUGUGGACACUGGUUGGCCUGCUCGUGGAGGUAGUUGGUGUGGCGUGGUGAUCCUCGAAAGCGUUGUGCUGGUGACUCGCGUGUCUGAGCCUUCAUCCGCGGCCCCUCCGGCACGAACCAACCAGUGUGUCUGUGCCUACGGGUCUGUCGGCUGCUGUUUCGCCUGGGACAAUUUGGGUUUGAGUCUCCCCUUGCUUUGCACCUGCAGCGCUGUGGCUUGGCCGUGCUUCGCUGGGUACGGGGAGGAAUUGCGCUUGUAGCCACGCUUGCCCCUUCACCUCGCUUUGCCUGCACGGAGCGUGCAUGUCUGUCAUAACUGUCCGAGGGUGCGCGGUUUCAGUGGCUCCGCCUGCUUUUAACCCCUUUUUUGUGCUGUGCGUUAUUUAUUUUCAUUUUAUUUAUUUCUGCAUGUUUAUUGUGUGUCUUUAUUUUCGUUUGCUGUGCUACUGCAUGCUGCUUACUCUGCUAGGUUUGCUGCUUUGCAUGACUCUUUAACUGCUUGUGUGCCAGUGUAGCUAUACCCUGCUAUUCAGGGCUGUAUAGGUGUGCAGUGCUUCAUUUGUUUAUUUAUGUUUCUUUUCAGUUUACUUAUUUGUGUGUUUCUGUGCUUUUGAUUAAUUUACUACUUUUGCAUUGUAUGUGUUUGUUUGGGGUUAAUGUGGGAUUGGGGAAAAUUAUGACUGCCAGCCUCUCCAGCAGUUCGGAGUGUGUCAAGGGCGUGUGAGUGCGAUGUGAGAGUGACGGUAACGUGUAUUGUUUUAUAGUGUGGUGGAACAUGGUAUAUAGUGCAUCGACAGCCUGGUGGUAGAAGGAAGUUCCUGCGUGUGCACACGAUGUAAGAU